rnacentral:rRNA from 1 species
CCCCGGUAGUCCACGCUGUAAACGAUGGAUACUAGGUGUAGGGGGUCAUUAACCCCCUCUGUGCCGAAGCUAACGCGUUAAGUAUCCCGCCUGGGGACUACGGCCGCAAGGUUAAAACUCAAAGGAAUUGANCGGGGGCCCGCACAAGCAGCCGGAGCGUGUGGUUUAAUUCGAUGAUACGCGAAGAACCUUACCUGGGUNUGACAUAUGGGUAGUAGUGAAGCGAAAGCUGAACGACCCUUCGGGGAGCCUUUACAGGUGCUGCAUGGCUGUCGUCAGCUCGUGUCGUGAGAUGUUGGGUUAAGUCCCGCAACGAGCGCAACCCUCGUCGUUAGUUACAAGUGUCUAACGAGACUGCUGGUUUCAAACCGGAGGAAGGUGGGGAUGACGUCAAGUCAGCAUGGUCUUUAUGUNCCAGGGCUACGCACACGCUACAAUGGCCGGUACAAUUGGUUGCCACACCGCGAGGUGGAGCUAAUCCUAAAAGCCGGUCUCAGUUCAGAUUGCAGUCUGCAACUCGACUGCAUGAAGGUGGAGUUGCUAGUAACCGCGCGUCAGCCAUAGUGCGGUGAAUGCGUUCCCGGGCCUUGUACACACCGCCCGUCACAUCAUGGGAGUCGGUAACACCUGAAGUCGGUGACCUAACCGCCAAGGGAGGAGCUGCCUAAGGUGGGAUCGGUGACUGGGAUGAAGUCGUAACCAAGGUACC